rnacentral:rRNA from 1 species
GGGGAAUAUUGGACAAUGGGCGGAAGCCUGAUCCAGCCAUGCCGCGUGUGUGAAGAAGGUCUUCGGAUUGUAAAGCACUUUAAUUUGGGAGGAAGGGUUUACACCUAAUACGUGUGAACUUUGACGUUACCAAAAGAAUAAGCACCGGCUAACUUCGUGCCAGCAGCCGCGGUAAUACGAAGGGUGCAAGCGUUAAUCGGGAUUACUGGGCGUAAAGCGCGCGUAGGUGGUUCGUUAAGUGGGAAGUGAAAGCCCCGGGCUCAACCUGGGAAUUGCUUUCAAAACUGGCGAGCUAGAGUACGGUAGAGGGUGGUGGAAUUUCCUGUGUAGCGGUGAAAUGCGUAGAUAUAGGAAGGAACAUCAGUGGCGAAGGCGACCACCUGGACUGAUACUGACACUGAGGUGCGAAAGCGUGGGGAGCAAAC